rnacentral:lncRNA from 1 species
CCUCAUUCACUUUGAUUCUCAUGGAAAUCUAGUAAUUUCAUUAAAUUUCUCUUGUAAGGAAUCGCUGAAAACCUUCCCUGAGUGUAAUUAAUAUGAUAAAAACUCACAUGAUGACUCGGUGUUUGACACUCCACUCAAAGGAAGGGGCUGGAAACGUGCAUGAAGCGGCACUGCUCUGGGCACUGCCUGGUCUGUGGAUGAGUCACACACGGACGGGUGGCAGCCACAGGCUGUCCUUCAGGGUUGAGUUUCCCCUUUUUCUUCCCAUAUUUUGAGAUGGAACGUGGGCGUAAGCAUAUCUGUUAAUUUGCCUGUCUAUCUGACUUUAUGUUGUCAGCCACUCAGGGUUUCCUUUCUUACUUUUGGCUUAUGAUUUAAAUGAAGAAUAAUCUAAAAAUGAGAAUACAGAGGUGAAUUCUUCCUAGCGGUAGUGUGUAAAUCAUCUACCUCCUCUCUUUAGCCAAUAAGAUGACCACAGAAUGAGACAAUCAAGUGCCAUCUAAGCCCCGUGAAUCUGCAGCUCACAUCCAAAUAAACCAUCAUCCUUGUGUUUCUCUCCAUCGGUUA